GGAAGAUGGUGCAACUCCAUCACGGUGCCGCCACUGUAAACGGGGAGUGACCCUGCAGCGAGCCACUGGCACGUUGUGCCGGGAAGGCGCAGGGAAGCGAUGAGCCGUAAGUCAGGAGAC
rnacentral:ncRNA from 14 species